AGGGUUUGAUCCUGGCUCAGAUUGAACGCUGGCGGCAGGCCUAACACAUGCAAGUCGAACGUGAAAGCUCCUUCGGGAGUGAGUAGAGUGGCGAACGGGUGAGUAACGCGUAGGAAUCUACCCAAAAGUGGGGGACAACCCGGAGAAAUCCGGGCUAAUACCGCAUACGCCCUACGGGGUAAAGUGGGGGACCUUUCGGGGCCUCAUGCUUUUGGAUGAGCCUGCGUCGGAUUAGUUUGUUGGUAGGGUAACGGCCUACCAAGGCGACGAUCCGUAGCUGGUCUGAGAGGAUGACCAGCCACACUGGGACUGAGACACGGCCCAGACUCCUACGGGAGGCAGCAGUGGGGAAUAUUGGACAAUGGGGGCAACCCUGAUCCAGCCAUGCCGCGUGUGUGAAGAAGGCCUUCGGGUUGUAAAGCACUUUCAGUAGGGAAGAAAAGCCUAAGGGUAAUAUCCUUGGGUCUUGACGGUACCUACACAAGAAGCACCGGCUAAUUCCGUGCCAGCAGCCGCGGUAAUACGGAAGGUGCAAGCGUUAAUCGGAAUUACUGGGCGUAAAGCGCGCGUAGGCGGCUAGAUAAGUCGGGUGUGAAAGCCCUGGGCUCAACCUGGGAACUGCAUUCGAUACUGUCUGGCUAGAGUGUGAUAGAGGGAGGCGGAAUUCCACAUGUAGCGGUGAAAUGCGUAGAGAUGUGGAGGAACACCAAUGGCGAAGGCAGCCUCCUGGAUCAACACUGACGCUGAGGUGCGAAAGCGUGGGGAGCAACAGGAUUAGAUACCCUGGUAGUC
rnacentral:rRNA from 1 species